GGGGUGAUAGCUCGGUGGUAGAGCACUUACCUAGCAUGUGUGAGGCACUGGGUUCGAUUUUCAGCACCACA
rnacentral:tRNA from 1 species